AUUUACUUAUUUAUUUUAUAAAGGGAGAGAGCAGAGGUGUGUGGGGAAGAGGGACAGAGAGAGAGUACCAAGUGGCCUCUGCGCUCAGCACGGAGCCCAAUGAGGCUCAAUGCCACGACCAUGAGUUCAUAAUCUGAGCUGAAAUCAAGAGUCGGACACUUAAGGGACUGGGCCACCCACGCACGCAGAAUCACUGACUUGUUUUUUAAUUAAUGAAUUAUCUUUUGAAAUAUUUUAAAAGGCAUUUUGGACAUUUUUUUAAUGCAAUUUAAUCAUUGCAUUCAGGAGACCAGAAAGGAUAGAACCCUGAGCACUCAAAAUACAACAAAAAAGAGGGAUGCCUGGUACAAUGUGCCUACUGUACUGAGUAGAGCAUGCAACUCCUGAUUUCAGGGUCAUGAGUUGAAGCCCCAUGUAGGGCAUGGGGCCUCUUUAAAAAAAAAAAAAAGACAAAAGUACAACAAAAACAACAAUAAUAAGAACAUUUAUUGAACACUCCCUGCACGUCAAGCACUGUGGUCCUCCUCCAUCAAGAUUUCAUCACUUUCAAGAAGCAGUAAAGCAUCUAGAAAAUCUCAGUACUGAGAAAGAAGUAAGUAUUUACGAAAGUUUUCCUCUCACUAACAAGAGACUGUACGUGCACCAGGGGAGAGUGGCCCAGGGGUGAUGGUAACAGAAGUGAUAGAAACUAAGCAGAAUGAGAAAAAUCCAAAUGGACCCAGGGAACAGUAUCAAGACUGAUCCUCACCAGAUGAUUCGAAUUCCUAAAAUCUGGGACGUACUGAGUUUUUGUUUCACUGUGGAGGUUGCUUUCCUUACACAUGCCUUCUGAGCAGAAGUAGAUUUUAACAAGAUUAAGCCUUCUGUUGCCUGGAAAAAAGAAUACAUUAAUUGGUAAAUAAAUCAUCAAAAUACGUUUAA